GGACGCUUCGGUGUCCGAGUAAAGUGGCGAACGGGUGCGUAACACGUGAGUAAUCUACCUUGGGCUCCGGGAUAACUUCUCGAAAGGGGAGCUAAAACCGGAUAGAGUCCCUGAGGCAUAAGUUGCAGGGGGAAAACGGGCCUCUGACAUAAGCUCGUGGCCCGGGAUGAGCUUGCGGCCCAUUAGCUUGUUGGCAGGGUAAAAGCCUACCAAGGCGACGAUGGGUAGCUGGUCUGAGAGGAUGAUCAGCCACACUGGCACUGAGACACGGGCCAGACUCCUACGGGAGGCAGCAGUGGGGAAUUUUGCGCAAUGGGCGAAAGCCUGACGCAGUAACGCCGCGUGGAGGAUGAAGGCCUUCGGGUCGUAAACUCCUGUCAGGAGGGAAGACGGCAAGGGGAUGAACAAUCCCUUUUUCCAGACGGUACCUCCAAAGGAAGCCCGGCUAAUUCCGUGCCAGCAGCCGCGGUAAUACGGAAGGGGCGAGCGUUGUUCGGAAUCAUUGGGCGUAAAGGGCGCGUAGGCGGUUUCGUAUGUCCGCUGUGAAAGCACACGGCUUAACCGUGGAGGGUCGGUGGAAACUGCGAAACUUGAGGCUGGGAGGGGCUGGUGGAAUUCCCCAUGUAGCGGUGAAAUGCGUAGAUAUGGGGGAGAACACUCGUGGCGAA
rnacentral:rRNA from 1 species